UUGAACGCUGGCGGCAUGCCUAACACAUGCAAGUCGAACGGCAGCACAGCAGUAGCAAUACUGUGGGUGGCGAGUGGCGGACGGGUGAGUAAUGCAUCGGGAUCUACCCAAACGUGGGGGAUAACGUAGGGAAACUUACGCUAAUACCGCAUACGUCCUAAGGGAGAAAAGCGGGGGACCGAAAGGCCUCGCGCGGUUGGACGAACCGAUGUGCGAUUAGCUAGUUGGUAGGGUAAUGCCUACCAAGGCGACGAUCGCUAGCUGGUCUGAGAGGAUGAUCAGCCACACUGAACUGAGACACGGCCAGACUCCUACGGGAGGCAGCAGUUGGGAAUAUUGGACAAUGGGCGCAAGCCUGAUCCAGCAAUGCCGCGUGUGUGAAGAAGGCCUUCGGGUUGUAAGCACUUUUAUCCAGGAGCGAAAUUACCUACUGGCUAAUAACCGGUGGGGCUGACGGUACCUGAGGAAUAAGCACCGGCUAACUUCGUGCCAGCAGCCGCGGUAAUACGAAGGGUGCAAGCGUUAAUCGGAAUUACUGGGCGUAAAGCGUGCGUAGGCGGUGAGUUAAGUCUGUUGUGAAAUCCCCGGGCUCAACCUGGGAAUGGCAAUGGAUACUGGCUCGCUAGAGUGUGAUAGAGGAUGGUGGAAUUCCCGGUGUAGCGGUGAAAUGCGUAGAGAUCGGGAGGAACAUCAGUGGCGAAGGCGGCCAUCUGGAUCAACACUGACGCUGAGGCACGAAAGCGUGGGGAGCAAACAGGAUUAGAUACCCUGGUAGUCCACGCCCUAAACGAUGCGAACUGGAUGUUGGUCUCAACUCGGAGAUCAGUGUCGAAGCUAACGCGUUAAGUUCGCCGCCUGGGGAGUACGGUCGCAAGACUGAGACUCAAAGGAAUUGACGGGGGCCCGCACAAGCGGGUGGAGUAUGUGGUUUAAUUCGAUGCAACGCGAAGAACCUUACCUGGCCUUGACAUGUCUGGAAUCCUGCAGAGAUGCGGGAGUGCCUUCGGGAAUCAGAACACAGGUGCUGCAUGGCUGUCGUCAGCUCGUGUCGUGAGAUGUGGGUUAAGUCCCGCAACGAGCGCAACCCUUGUCCUUAGUUGCCAGCACGUAAUGGUGGGAACUCUAAGGAGACUGCCGGUGACAAACCGGAAGGAAGGUGGGGAUGACGUCAAGUCAUCAUGGCCCUUACGGCCAGGGCUACACACGUACUACAAUGGUCGGUACAGAGGGUUGCAAUACCGCGAGGUGGAGCCAAUCCCAGAAAGCCGAUCCCAGUCCGGAUUGGAGUCUGCAACUCGACUCCAUGAAGUCGGAAUCGCUAGUAAUCGCAGAUCAGCUAUGCUGCGGUGAAUACGUUCCCGGGCCUUGUACACACCGCCCGUCACACCAUGGGAGUGAGUUGCUCCAGAAGCCGUUAGUCUAACCGCAAGGGGGACGACGACCACGGAGUGGUUCAUGACUGGGGUG
rnacentral:rRNA from 1 species